GGGCCUAUAGCUCAGUCAGGUGAGAGCGCACGCCUGAUAAGCGUGAGGUCGGUGGUUCAAGUCCACCUAGGCCCA
rnacentral:tRNA from 1 species